UUGACUUUUUUGAUUUUCAAUAAAAACGAAUAUAAAAAAAAAAAAAAUCUGUUCUUAUCAGUUUAAUAUCUGAUACGUCCUCUACCCGAGGACCAUAUAUUAAUCUGAUUUUUGGAACAGGGAGACGGAAGAGGGGCUUGCUCCGUCCGCUCCACGCAUCGACCCGGUAUUGCAGCGACUCCGGGAACGGUGCACAUUCC